rnacentral:rRNA from 1 species
GACCCUAUAGAGUUUAAUAUUUAAUUAAUAAAUUAUUUUUUAGAAUUUAAUAUUAAUUUAUUAAUUAAAUAUUUGAUUGGGGUGAUUGAAAAAUUUAAAUAACUUUUUUUAUAUUUAAACAUUAAUUUAUGAUUACUUGAUCCAUUGUUUAUGAUUAUAAGAUUAAAUUACCUUAGGGAUAACAGCGUAAUUUUUUUUGAGAGUUCAAAUCGAAAAAAAAGAUUGCGACCUCGAUGUUGGAUUAAAAUUUAUUUUUGGUGUAGAAGCUAAAUUUAUUGGGUCUGUUCGACCUUUAAAAUUUUACAUGAUCUG